rnacentral:misc_RNA from 1 species
AUAUGGCACCUGCCAGCCCUGCUGGAAGGUAUGCCUGUUUGAGAAUCAUAUCCAUCUGACCGUUCAUUCGUGACCGGUCGACCUGGGCAUUCAUCACUGAUCGCCUCGAAUUUGCUUGUGGUUGUCAUGCUAACAUCUAGUUGACAAUCACACCCCCCUUUCAUGAUCUCAAAUCAGGCAAGGCUACCCGCUGAACUUAA